rnacentral:lncRNA from 1 species
AUCUAAAGCCUGGAUGGAAGGUCCAGUCUUCUAAGAGAGGGCUGUGGUUCUAGCAGUCUGGGUUCUAGCGGAUCUGGGCCCAUGAAGAGAUGCAUUUCACGGGGAAUCAUUCAUUGAGCAUUGGAGCUGCCCAGCCGGUCCAAUACUCAUCAGUGACGCUGGUGGUAUCUGGCAGUGCCCAUCAUCCUGGUCCUUAUGUAGCUGACGCUUCUCACGGGGAAACUCAGCUCUAAACUGGGUGUUUUGCAAACAGCAUGAGUUACUAUGUAUCCAGGUAGGUGGGGUCAGCACACAGCGUCUCCUUGUUUUCCUGUCUUGUAAUAAUUAACCCCUUCUCUUGGGGGACUCCAAGUAAUUGCCUUUCCUGUAAACAGUUGGUAAUUGCAACUGUGUGGUGGUGGCCUGAGAAAGUGGGAAUGCAGAGAAAACAGCAUUUCUGGUUUUGAGGACCUGCACGUGCAGAAGCAGGAGUGUGGCAUGUGCAGGUACACACAGGAACUGCAGAAUCAGGACAGUGCUUCCACUGCCUAGAACUUGGCCCUGGGCAAAACAGAUCCGAAAAUGUCCACUUUAAUCUGGACUUGACCUCCAAGGUUAUGGACCCAACAGAGAGUCUAAAUCAGAAGAAUCUGAUUGGGCAGUGCCCCCGCCCCCAGAAAAGCCAGUUAAAGAUCACGCAAAUCAGAGGCAGUAUGCCAAGAUGUGGAAGACUCCCGAAAGGCACUUGGGCAAAAAAUGGACAUAAUCUGAGAAACAAAAGCCUGGAGAAGUUGAAUCAUGACCAGCUUGGAGACUGGAGGGGAGUGGGUGUGAAUGAAGCAAGGUGUGAGCAGGCUGCAAUUGAAAUGGCUGUGUGGCAUUCCUUACUAGGACAUGCCUGCCACUGUCCUGGCCUCCCUGUGCCCUCCAGUUGUGCCAGCCCAAGCCCUGGAGCUGAGAACAGUCACCCAAUCCCUGGAAGAAGAGACUCAGAGAAUCCCAAGGGUUCCAAGCCUGAGUCACCACCUCCUUCCACCUCCACCCUCGAAUUCUGGAGAUUGAUUUCUAGGCUUUUCUUUUCUCUAAAAAGUAAUAACAAGACGUUCUCACUUGGGAGGAAGAUGAUUAAAUUUCAAAUUACUCUGCUUGCCAGAUAA